rnacentral:rRNA from 1 species
AUUGAACGCUGGCGGCAUGCUUUACACAUGCAAGUCGAACGGUAACAGGCCUUCGGGUGCUGACGAGUGGCGAACGGGUGAGUAAUGCAUCGGAACGUACCCAGAGGUGGGGGAUAACGCAGCGAAAGCUGUGCUAAUACCGCAUGUGAUCUGAGGAUGAAAGCGGGGGACCGAGCAGCAAUGUUUGGCCUCGCGCCUUUGGAGCGGCCGAUGUCGGAUUAGCUAGUUGGUGGGGUAAAGGCCUACCAAGGCGACGAUCCGUAGCUGGUCUGAGAGGACGACCAGCCACACUGGGACUGAGACACGGCCCAGACUCCUACGGGAGGCAGCAGUGGGGAAUUUUGGACAAUGGGCGCAAGCCUGAUCCAGCAAUGCCGCGUGCGGGAAGAAGGCCUUCGGGUUGUAAACCGCUUUUGGCAGGAACGAAACGGUGUUCGCUAAUACCGGGCGCUAAUGACGGUACCUGCAGAAUAAGCACCGGCUAACUACGUG